CUACACAUGCAGUCGAACGGACUCUUCGGAGUUAGUGGCGGACGGGUGAGUAACACGUGGGAACGUGCCUUUAGGUUCGGAAUAGCUCCUGGAAACGGGUGGUAAUGCCGAAUGUGCCCUUCGGGGGAAAGAUUUAUCGCCUUUAGAGCGGCCCGCGUCUGAUUAGCUUGUUGGUGGGGUAAUGGCCCACCAAGGCUACGAUCAGUAGCUGGUCUGAGAGGAUGACCAGCCACAUUGGGACUGAGACACGGCCCAAACUCCUACGGGAGGCAGCAGUGGGGAAUCUUGCGCAAUGGGCGAAAGCCUGACGCAGCCAUGCCGCGUGUAUGAUGAAGGUCUUAGGAUUGUAAAAUACUUUCACCGGUGAAGAUAAUGACUGUAGCCGGAGAAGAAGCCCCGGCUAACUUCGUGCCAGCAGCCGCGGUAAUACGAAGGGGGCUAGCGUUGCUCGGAAUUACUGGGCGUAAAGGGAGCGUAGGCGGACAUUUAAGUCAGAGGUGAAAUCCCGGAGCUUAACUUCGGAACUGCCUUUGAUACUGGGUGUCUUGAGUGUGAGAGAGGUAUGUGGAACUCCGAGUGUAGAGGUGAAAUUCGUAGAUAUUCGGAAGAACACCAGUGGCGAAGGCGACAUACUGGCUCAUUACUGACGCUGAGGCUCGAAAGCGUGGGGAGCAAACAGGAUUAGAUACCCUGGUAGUCCACGCCGU
rnacentral:rRNA from 2 species